rnacentral:rRNA from 1 species
GACGAACGCUGGCGGCGUGCUUAACACAUGCAAGUCGAACGGAAAGGCCCUGCUUGCAGGGUACUCGAGUGGCGAACGGGUGAGUAACACGUGGGUGAUCUGCCCUGCACUUCGGGAUAAGCUUGGGAAACUGGGUCUAAUACCGGAUAGGAGCCAUCUUUAGUGUGGUGGUUGGAAAGUUUUUUCGGUGUAGGAUGAGCUCGCGGCCUAUCAGCUUGUUGGUGGGGUAAUGGCCCACCAAGGCGGCGACGGGUAGCCGGCCUGAGAGGGUGUACGGCCACAUUGGGACUGAGAUACGGCCCAGACUCCUACGGGAGGCAGCAGUGGGGAAUAUUGCACAAUGGGCGCAAGCCUGAUGCAGCGACGCCGCGUGGGGGAUGAAGGCCUUCGGGUUGUAAACUCCUUUCGCUAGGGACGAAGCUUUGUUGUGACGGUACCUAGAGAAGAAGCACCGGCUAACUACGUG